rnacentral:rRNA from 1 species
GACGUAGGGGGCCAGCGUUGCUCGGAAUUACUGGGCGUAAAGGGUCCGUAGGCGGUGUGGCAAGUCGGGAGUGAAAUCUCUGGGCUCAACUCAGAGGCUGCUUCCGAAACUGCUGUGCUCGAGUGUGGGAGAGGCGCGUGGAAUUGCAGGUGUAGCGGUGAAAUGCGUAGAUAUCUGCAGGAACACCCGUGGCGAAGGCGGCGCGCUGGACCACUACUGACGCUGAGGGACGAAAGCUAGGGGAGCAAACAGG